GUUGGGACGGGAAUUUGCAUGUUUGACUCACGAAUGGUCUUCUCUCAUCUCCCGUUUGCUUCCGAAUCAUUGGAAUCAUGUAGACAGCCUUUACUUUGAAGGGCAGGAAAUGAAGGACUGUGACUGUGCACACAAUCCCAGCAAUACCUAUAGAACGCCACCAGGGGGCACCUGUCACAUCGCCUCCACACCACUCCACUACCCUCUAAGGCAGCUGUCCUGGGACGCCACAAGCCCUCAGAGGAACAACACCCGACCCACCCACCCCCUCACACGUGACCCCUGACCCUGCCAGGUGUACGCCAUCAUGCAGCCUCCUCGCCGGGCGUCGGUUGAAGCCGUUGGGAUGAAGGGAAGUGCUGCUUGUGUUUACCAGUUCCAUGUGACCAGAGGCGAUGAGGAGGGAGUGAUGGGGGGGGUGUCAAGAAUAGACAAUUUGUGAGGUCGUCACAGUUCGCUGGUCUGACGAGGGACGCUGUCCCCCGUCGGCCACUAUCAGCUACUUCAAACUAUUCUACUUUUACAUUUGAUAUAUAAAAAAAAAUGUACAUAAAAGAUGCAAAAAUGUCUCUAAUAUCCAACAUGCAAGGCAGGCAAGCACCUGCUGACUUUGUAAAGAAACAUUACCGCAACCCUUUAUCCUCGCAGGUCUUCAUAAAAUAUAUUAUAAGACAUGCCUUUUCGUGGUGGAAUAUUACUUGCGCAUUUUACGUAUUUCGGGCAUAAUUUCAUUUCGGUAUAGGUCGGCUCAGGAACCAAUUAACCGCCAUAAACGAGGGAUUACUGUAAUGCAACUCAGCCCCCUCAUAGAACGAUUAGGAGAAUCACUGUAUGAACGACACAAGAGCUGCAUUUGAAGCAUCACGAGUGGUCAGCAGCAAGCAGCUUUAUCUACCUCUGCCUGCGCUGUAAAAUGUCUACUUUCAUGCACUCCAAAUCAUUAUCUACGUAAAAAAAAACAAAGUAGUUACAUACUGUAGCUCUUUGCGGUUUAGCUACAUAAAUAUCAUUUGAGCAUUUGCAGUGUUUGUCCUAAAAGACCAACACAACAGCGUUUCCAAGUUUUAAAAAAAACAAUAUUUUGCUUUGACUCAAGCAACAGAUACCACACAAUCAAUCCAACUGAUUAUUUGUUAUCAGUAGUUAGGAGUCAAUGUCUAACACGGAUGUCGUCAAUAUAAUGGAGCGUUUACUGGCGUCGAUCACGUAAGCAACAUGCACACAUCGUUUCUAAUAGGAAUGCAGGCCACACCUUCAUUCCUCUCAAAUUAGAGGAAGGAUGGCUGGCUUUUUCUUUUUUAUGUCAGCAAUGAGACUCCGUGGGUAUUUGUAUUUCUGUGCAUUUGUGUACAAGAUAGAAAACUCUCUGCAAAAAAAACUACUUACAAAAACAGCUGAGUGGAGGUUUUCAGCAGCGCCAUAAACAUUCAAUGGAAAACACAUUUACACACACACACACACACACACGCACGCACGCACGCGCACACACACACGCGCGCACACACACACGAUUCUCCCUCCCUGACCCCAGCUGAAA